rnacentral:piRNA from 1 species
UGCUGACUGCACACACCCUUGACUGAGC